rnacentral:rRNA from 1 species
AUUGAACGCUGGCGGCAUGCUUUACACAUGCAAGUCGAGCGGCAGCGCGGGGGCAACCCUGGCGGCGAGCGGCGAACGGGUGAGUAAUGCAUCGGAACGUACCCUGGAGUGGGGGAUAACGCCGCGAAAGCGGCGCUAAUACCGCAUAUGCUCUGAGGAGGAAAGUGGGGGACCGCAAGGCCUCACGCUCUGGGAGCGGCCGAUGUCCGAUUAGCUAGUUGGUGGGGUAAAGGCUUACCAAGGCGACGAUCGGUAGCUGGUCUGAGAGGAUGAUCAGCCACACUGGGACUGAGACACGGCCCAGACUCCUACGGGAGGCAGCAGUGGGGAAUUUUUGGACAAAUGGGGGGCAACCCUGAUCCAGCCAUGCCGCGUGAGUGAAGAAGGCCUUCGGGUUGGUU